rnacentral:rRNA from 1 species
UACGAAGGGGGCUAGCGUUGCUCGGAAUCACUGGGCGUAAAGGGUGCGUAGGCGGGUCUUUUAAGUCAGGGGUGAAAUCCUGGAGCUCAACUCCAGAACUGCCUUUGAUACUGAAGAUCUUGAGUUCGGGAGAGGUGAGUGGAACUGCGAGUGUAGAGGUGAAAUUCGUAGAUAUUCGCAAGAACACCAGUGGCGACGGCGGCUCACUGGCCCGAUACUGACGCUGAGGCACGAAAGCGUGGGGAGCAAACAGG